CAGCAACGCCCGUCUUACCAAAUAAAUUUGUCCUCUUACCCGAUAAACCACGUUAAAUUUCACUUACAAUCCAAAACUUAUAUACCGCCAUCUAAAGAAUUAAUUGCAAAAUAUUUCUCUAAAUAAAAAAUAACAAGUUAGGUCAAGGUGUAGUCAAUAUUUAAGUAUGAGAUGAAUUACAUUAAAUACAAUUUAAGGAUUUAAAAUUAAAAUUUAACAAGAAAAGGGAUUUAAAAGUAAUUUUACAAAAAUAAUAUUCCAACAUGAAUUAGAUAAUAAAUGUGCACACAUCGCCCGUCGCUCUUAAACA
rnacentral:rRNA from 1 species